rnacentral:lncRNA from 1 species
AUUCAAACAAGUCUAGGUACAGCUUGUGCCAGUAGAAAAUUUUCAGCAUCUAUGAAGUGCUCUUCAGGUGUGCAUAAUGCAAGAAUUAUAGGGUCAUGGCUGCCUCCACUGAGAUUUCAAAGUGAAGUCUAGAAGGCCAGGCAGAAGUUUGCUGCUAAUUUGGAACUUCCAGAGAGUACUCCAUGGGGCAAUGUCUAGCUGCUGGGGGAAGGGAGCUGAAGUGGGAACCCCCAAAAAGUGAAAUGACCAACAGUGUCCCAUGCCAGUUUUGGAAAGCUGCCUGCAUCAGUGUGUAGCCUGAGAGAGCAACCAUGUGGGUAGCAACCAGAAAAGCCAUACAAGCAGGACCACUCAAGGGUUUGGGGGCCUGCCCCUCAGUUGCAGGGUCCCCAGGACACUGGAUUUGGAGCUUUAGGAUUUAGUGUCUUCCCUGCUGGACACUGAUGUUGUUUUGGCUGAUUCCUUCUUUCUGUCUUCUUUUUUCUCAUUUUUAAAAUAGGAAUGUUUAUCCAAUUCCAAUCCUACUAUUGUACCUUGGACAGACCUAACUCUUGUUUUUUUACCAGAGCUCACAGCUGAGUUUGUUUUGAGUCUCAGAUAAGACUUGGAACUUGAACUUUUUUUUUUCCAGUACUGGGAUUGAACCUAUGGACUUUGCACUGAGCUACAUCCCCAGCCUUUUAAAAAAUUUUAUUUUGAGAUAGGGUCUUGCAAAGUUACUAGGUUGCCCCUAGGGUGACCAGGUGAACUUGCAAUCUUCCUGCUUCAGCCUCCCGGAGUGUUGGGAUUAUAAGCAUGAACCACCACACCAGGCUGAACUUGGACUUUUGGAUGAUGGUGGAACAGUUAAGACCCUGUGACUUUUCAGAAUAGAAUGUAUUUUGGAUUGUGAGAUAGGCGUGAACUUUGGAGCUAGAGACAGAAUGCUAUGGUUUGGAUUUGGUUUGUCCCCCAGAGGUUGAUGUGUGAGAGGCUUGUGGUAAUGUAAAAGGUUAUGGAACCUUUAAGAGGUCUACUUGAGGGUUCUUAAGACAAUAGAGAGACUGUAAACGUAGAGAAACAGACAUCUUACCCUUCACAGUUGUAUCCUCAACACCAGUAAUUCUCAAUAAAUGUUAAGCAUUCAGCUAGCAAUAAAUGAUAAAUAGUCCACUAAUCUGAGUUCUAUGGAUAGAUUUGGAAAGGCCCACAAAUCAAGUAAGAAGAAAAGUUUAUUUCUUCCCAUUGUUUUCUUCUUAUUGGUUUAAAAUUGUCUGAGUUCAAAGAAAAUUAUUUAGAAUGUCCACUUAUAGAUUAAUAAUAGAACUAAAUUGCAUACUAAUUUCGUAUCAUAUGAUCCAUUAGAUAUUUAUCAUAUGCUGCCAUUAUAAUAAUGAGCAUCUGCCCCUGUUCACAUCAAGCCUAGCUUAAAUUGGUAAAUACUGGAGUUGGUAAAUAUUAAAGAAAAGAAGGUACUACAAAGACAGGACUACAGUCAAAAGCAGGAAUUGAAGUUAUACUCCCUCACAUUGUUCUCAGGCACUUCCAAGUCAUGUGACCUUGGACAAAUUACUUAAAUUCUCUAUCAUAAUAUUUUCCUUAUAGGAUUACUGGGUGUAUUAAGUGAGAUAUUGAUUUUGCUUUGAUAUAGCCAAUGAACAUACCAAGACACCAAAACCACAGCAUUUUUUACAUAUAAAAAUUUUUGCCAACAAAAAUCUUUUUCAACAAUGCUAAAAGAGUAACUUCUAUCUUGUAAUUACACAGCCAAAAGAAGAAAAUAUUUAGGAAUUUCUUAUAAUAGCAUAAUAAGGAGAAAUUUCUUAAGGCAACAAAGCACAGAUAUUGAGUAAUUUGACUACAGAAAAGGUCUUUCAUGAUAAACAAAUUGAAAAGAGCAGCCAUAGAGUAGGAAUUUCUAUGGCAUAUAAUGUAAAGAAAAUUAUCCAGAAAUUGAAAGAAUUUUGAUAAAUUAUUAAGGAAACAGACAACCGUGCUUUUGAAAUGGUCUAAAUAGGGCCAGGGAUUUAGCUCAGUGGUUCCGGCACCUGCCUUGCAAGCGCAAGGUCCCGAGUUUGAUCCCUGGUACAAAAAAAAAAGGUCUAAAUAUAAAUAGCUCACAGGAGAAGAAUUUGAGUGGCAGAUAAACACAGGAAAAGAUAAUCAGAAAUGCCAAAAUACAACAAAAGGUACCAUUUUAUAACUACAUUAAUGUCAAAAGUUAAUGUCUGAUAAGCCAAAGAUAGUGAGAAGGUGAAGGGAAAACUCUUAAUUGUUGAUCUAACAUUUUUGAUCCAACAGUUUUGGGGAAAAAUGGCAAUAACUAGGUGAAAUUAUGAUCUCCCAGCAACUCAGCAAUUCUUAGGCCUCUACCCUCAAGAAACUCUGACAAGUGGUCAGAGAUAGGUGGACAUUGUGCCAGUUACCCUUCUUUGUCAACCUGACUGGAUUAAGAGAUUCUUGGAUAGGUGUUGGGUCAUGGGCUUGAUCCACUGAUAUUCAUAGCUGACUGUGCUGUUAGGAGACGGGGCCCAGUUGGAGGAAGUGAGUCACUGGGGGCACGUCUUUGGAGGUUAUAUCUCUUGCUGGCAUUCUGCCCUCUGCUCUACUUCCCAGCUGCCACAAAAUGAGCAGCUUUGCUCCACUGCAUCCUUCCACCAUGACAGUCCUACCUUGAAGCCAGGCAGCCAUGCACUGAAACCAUGAGCCAAAUUAAACCUUUUCUCCUUUAAGUUGUGAGUGUUAGGUGUUUUUUCCCAGCAAUGGAAAAGCUGACCAAUACAGAUAUAUAUGUGCACUGCAGCACUAAUUAUAAUAGUGAAACAUUGAAAAACUAUCUGUAAUUAGUAGUUGAGUGGAUGUAUACACGAUAUGGGUUUUUGUUUUGUUUUUAUAGUUCUGGGAAUUGAAACCAGAGCUUUCAUACCAAGUUAAAUUCCCAGCCUUCUGUGUUUGUCUGUUUGUUUUGAAAUAGUAGCCCACAGUAGCCUCAAACUUAUGAUCCUCCUGCCUCAGCCUCCCAGAGUGCUGGGAUAUGUAAUCAUUUUUUAAUAUAAUGAAACAUUUUAUAGCAUCUCAGAACUUUUUUUUUCUUUUUUGAGACAGGGUCACACUAUUUAGUUCAGGCUCCCUUGAAUUCACUAUUUAACCCAGGCUGGCCUCACACUCACAGCAAUCCUCCUGCCUCAGCAUUCUGAGUGCUGGGAUUAACAGGCAUGUGCCACCAUGCCCAGUUAGAAACAUCUUUAAAGAGAUGUUUCAAAUAGCUAUGGAAAGAAUGAUACUAUUUAUACAAAUUUCUGAAAUGACCAAGCAUUGUAGCACACCUUAUAAUCUUCAUACUUGGGAGGCUGAAGCAGAAGAAUCAUGAGUUCAAGACCAGCCUGAGGGCCGGGGAUUUAGUUCAGUGGUUUCACUGCCUGCUGUGCCAGCGCAAGGACUCACGUUCAAUCCCCAGUACCAAAAAAAAAAGACCAGCCUGAAAAAAAAAAAAAGCAGCCUGGAUGACAUAGCAAGUUCAAGUCCAACUUGAGCUACAUAUCAAGACCUUGUCUCAAAAAUAAAUAUAAAAUUAAAUAAAUUUCUAAAAUAUACACACAAUAAUGCAUACACUAUUAGCACACACUUUUGUAAUAAAAGUAUUUCUUUUUUUAAUAAAAGAAAUACAUGAAAUUCAGAUUAUUAGCUCUUCUUAGGACAGAUGAAAGGAAAAAAGAUAGGAGCUGCAAUGUUGCUAUUUUAUAAUGUUUUGUUUAAAAAUAAAAAGACCUAAGGUAAAUGUUAUAAAGUGUUAACAUGAGUGGAAGUAGAUGAACUAUUUGCUAUAUCAUCUAUACUUUUCUAUUUGAAAUCCACCAGAAUUUAAAGUAAUUUUUAAAGGAAAAUACCUGGAUUUAUAUAAAUCUUUCCAUAAGAAUAGUUUGAUUUUAAAAGGCUGCAUCUUUAACAAAAUUGAACUUGUCCCAGCUUGACAUGGGCAACCUUAAAAAUCUCCCUAUUUUUUUUUUUUUUUGACUAGCAAACAACCCCACAUAAUUAGAAAGAACGGAGUGAAGCCAUGUGCCCUGGAAAUAUCUGACAUGGUUUGUGGCUUGGAGCAAAAGAAGAAAACUGAAGCCAGGCUAACUUCAAAAGGCAUCAUCCCCUUUAGAAUUACUGGUCUUUCUUCUAAUAUCUGGAAACAUCUCUAAACUGGCUCCUAAAGCCUCUUUUCUUCCACAGGCAAAUAGCUGGACAGAACUGCAAUGCCUCCCAAUUUAACCAGCUCUUAGCACUAUUUAGUUAUCCAGUGAUGCCAGUGCCAUUGAAAUAGUAUUCCAAUUUUUCCAACCUCCCUCUGGAAACUUCACAAACCAUUGUCAUUAUCAAAAUGGUGAAAAAGUGUCUUUGUCAAGAUGGAACAUUACACAAAUGGAGCACCCACAAAGCUCAUUAACACACCUGGUUUGACUGCCUUCCUGAAAACAGUCCAUGCAAUGGCAUGACUCAUUACUGUCUUCAUCAAGAGGAAUUGGGCUGUGCCAGCAAUUGUGGAAGGAGUCUUGUCUUCUGCUGACAACAGUCAUAACUCGAUCAAAGCCCAGUCCUGACUUCAGGCUUUUCAAGAAAUUUUGUCUAGAAAAAGGAUCAGAAUAGAAAGUUCUUCCUUAUCACAGAUAGUCCACUGACUUUUGAGCCAACAAAUCUUAAAGUUUGUGACUGAAUCCUAUGGGUGAAUGGGGGUGGGGAGAGACCUGCUCAGAAUAAUUUGGGAGCUCAUUCACAAUUUUGUUACACCACAGAUAUUUUUGAUCAUGAGACUAAGGUAAAUCUUUUGAUCCAAGAUCAUACAAAUGCCAUUAUGAAUGCUGCUAAAAGAAACCACAAUGCCUCAUAGCUGAGGCACCAUUUCAAAAAGUGGAGAUGUGAUAUAAAAUUUCAAAUGUGGAAGAAGGACUUUCUCUGGUGUGAAGCCUACUGAGUCUUACUAGUUUCUCUGCGAUCAGAAGUCUUCAAUACCUAAAAACACCACUGAAUUCUUUUGAAUGUUACUUCUGCUCAGACCAGAAAAAGAAGGCAUGGAGAGAUUAAGUAACUUGUCCAGUAUUACACAGCUACUAUGUGAUAAUUCCAAAUAGCAUGUGCCUGUCUGAUUCUAGAGCCCAUCUUUAGAUUAUACAUUAAAGGAAUUAAUUUUCAAUGCAAAAGCAAACAUUGAAUGUAAACUGCUCAGAUUCUGCAUGCUGUUUUGUGAAAUUUGUUUGGGUUUCAUCAAAAUGUUAGGGCUUCAUAAUCAGAAAAACCUCAGAAUCACUGGACGAAAAAAACCCACAUAGUUUGGUUAAGGUGUCUGUCUCACUGCAUCACGGUGUCUGGCAUAUGGCAGAUGCUUCCUGUAUAAACAUUUGCCAAAUGGCACACAGUUAGGAUGAUUGAUCUAGACUACCAAGGGGAAAUUAGAUUAUUAGUCCACAAUGGAGGUAAGAAAGAAUAUGUUUGGAAUGCGGGAGAUCCCUUACAGCGUCUCCUAGUAUUCUCAUGGCCUAUUGUUAAGGUCAAUAGGAAGUGACAACAGCCCAAUCCAGGCAGGAUAACAAAUGGCCCAGAACCUUCAGAAAUGAAGGUAUAGGUCACCAUACUAGGUAAAGAACCAAGAACUGCUGAGGUGCUUGUUGAAGGCCACAGGUGUACAGAAUGGGUAGUACAAGACAGUAGUUAUAAAUUCCAGCUAUGACUAUGUGACCAGCUACAGUUAUGAGAUUGUAACUCUCAUGAGUAUUUCUUUCUGAUUUUAUUAAUAUACUCAUGCACAUAUACACAUGUAUUAAGUAAAUAUCUUUGUUUUCUUUUUUUUAACAUAACUGACUUAAUAUAAGUACUUAGGAAUUAUUACAUUAUACUACUUAAGUUAUGGAAUGUAAGGAAAAGAGUAAGCAUCACCCCCCCCCCAAAAAAAACUUUGCCUUUUAUUCUCAGGAGGGAAUUGGUGCAUUUCUGUCUGUAUGCAAGCUAAUUGUAUCAUGUUAGGCAUAAUUAGGAACUUACUAUUGUAUUUGAAGAUUAAGUAUGGUUUAAGGAGAUGUGUCUGACUGUCAGUUUACAAGGGGUGGACUGUGACCAUUAAUUGGGAUACACUGACUUGACUUGAAUAAGACCCACCUAGCAGAUUACUGAAGCACAGUUCUGGGCGUGUUUGUGGAUAACUGACAAACUGAGGGGGAAGACCCACCCAGAAGACCAUGGGCACCAACCAAUAGUCUUACAGCCUGGAUGGCGUAACAGGGGAAAGAAGAAGAAAGUGUCCCCAUUUUGGAAGAGCUCCAGUCUUCAAUAUUGCUUUUGGAUAUCAAUCUCCAGUUUCCUCAGCCUUACAAUGGAGACUUACACCAGUGACUACAGUGAACUUCCAGGCCUUUGAUCUUGGGUUCCAUCUUCUUUGGCUGAGUAGUUAACUGGAUCCUCCAGCUCUCCAGCAUGCAGAGAACCAUAAUGGACUCUUCUGCCUCUGACUCUAUAAUCCUACUUUUAAUAACCCCCUUCUAUAAUUAUUCAUAUAUUUUAUUGAUUCCAUUCCUCUAGAGAAUGCAAACUAAUACAGUAUGUAUUUAUAUGAAUUUUUGUAUCAUUUUUAACACAAAGAAUAGAAUACUACUUGUUUUUUCACUCUAAAAAUAUAAAAUUUGGAGUUCUUUCCAUAUUGAUUCAUUUUUUAUUCAUUAAUUUGACAAGUUUUUAUUCAGUGCUUACCAUGUGCCAGGCACUUGCAAGUGGUGAAGAUACAGCAGUAGACAACAUACACAAAAUAUAUACUCCUGAAACUUAACACACUAGCAGAGAGUGCAGGAAAGACAGACAGAACCUCACUAAGCAGUGAAAUAUAUAUAGUAUAUCCAAUGAUGAUAAGUACUAUGCAGAAAAAUAAAGCUGGGAGAAAAGCUGAACAGCAGCUGUAGGGAUCUAAAUGAAAGAGGGGCUAGUGUACCCUGUAAUCCUAGUGCUCAGGAGACUGAGACAGAAGGAUUGCUGUGGAUUCGAGGCCAGCCUGGGCUACAUAGUGAGUCCCUGUCUCAAAAAAAUACAGCCAGAUAAAGUUUUUUUACUUUAUUUUAUUUUACCUUAUUUUUGAAGUACCAGAGGCCAAACUCAGGGUCUUUUUCACACUGAGCUACAUCACUAUUCCCUCUCCCCCUUUAAAACUUAUUUUUGAACCAGGAUAUUACUAAGUCUCUAAGUUGCCCAGGCUUGGCUCAAACUUGCAGUGUUCCUGCCUCAGUCUCCCAGAGUAAUCCCAACAAUUACAGGCAUGUGCUGCCAUGCCUGCCUCCAAUUUGGAUUUUUUCCAAUUCCAUUGAUGUAACUUCUAAUUUAUUCAACAUAUAUAUAUAAU